rnacentral:rRNA from 1 species
ACGGGUGAGUAACACGUGGGUAAUCUACCCUAGAGUGGGGAAUAACACCGGGAAACCGGUGCUAAUACCGCAUACGAUCGCGAUGUCUUCGGAUGUUGCGAUGAAUGGAGCAAUUCGCUCUUGGAGGAGCCCGCGGCUGAUUAGCUAGUUGGUGAGGUAAUGGCUCACCAAGGCAACGAUCAGUAGCCGGUCUGAGAGGACGGUCGGCCACACUGGAACUGAGACACGGUCCAGACUCCUACGGGAGGCAGCAGUGGGGAAUUUUUCGCAAUGGGGGCAACCCUGACGAAGCAACGCCGCGUGGGUGAUGAAGUAUCUCGGUACGUAAAACCCUUUCGACGGGGAAGAAACCGCAAGGUUGACGGUACCCGUAGAAGAAGCCCCGGCUAACUCCGUGCCAGCAGCCGCGG